rnacentral:lncRNA from 1 species
GAUGAUGACAAAACACUUGAGCAAAAGCAUAUAUAUGAAACAUUGAGCAUGAAUUUCAAAGGAAUGAAAUGCAUCAUAGGUAGUUUGAAGAUAAAUAAAAAAUUUGCUACCAAAUUGAAAAUUACUUAUAAGUGCAUUUGCUUGAAAAGAAGAUUGAUUCUUUGGCACGUGAUACAUGUGCCCAUUUGCUUGUGUUGCUCAUUUGCCUAACAAUUUGCCUAUUGCUU